rnacentral:rRNA from 1 species
AGCAUAUCAAUAAGCGGAGGAAAAGAAACCAACAGGGAUUGCCUCAGUAACGGCGAGUGAAGCGGCAACAGCUCAAAUUUGAAAUCUGGCGCCUUCGGCGUCCGAGUUGUAAUUUGUAGAGGAUGCUUCGGCGAGGGCUCCCGUCUAAGUCCCUUGGAACAGGGCGUCACAGAGGGUGAGAAUCCCGUAUGUGAUGGGUUGCCCGAGCCGUGUGAAGCUCCUUCGACGAGUCGAGUUGUUUGGGAAUGCAGCUCUAAAUGGGAGGUAAAUUUCUUCUAAAGCUAAAUACCGGCCAGAGACCGAUAGCGCACAAGUAGAGUGAUCGAAAGAUGAAAAGCACUUUGGAAAGAGAGUUAAAAAGUACGUGAAAUUGUUGAAAGGGAAGCGCUUGCAACCAGACUCGCGCGCAGUUGCUCAGCCGGUCUCCUGACCGGUGUACUCUUCUGCGUCCGGGCCAGCAUCAGUUCGGGCGGCCGGAUAAAGGCCUCGGGAAUGUGGCUCCCCUCGGGGAGUGUUAUAGCCCGGGGUGCAAUGCGGCCAGCCCGGACUGAGGAACUCGCUUCGGCUAGGAUGCUGGCGUAAUGGUUGUAAGCGGCCCGUCUUGAAACACGGACCAAGGAGUCUAACAUCUAUGCGAGUGUUUGGGUGUCAAACCCAUGCGCGUAAUGAAAGUGAACGGAGGUGGGAACCCUCACGGGUGCACCAUCGACCGAUCCUGAUGUCUUCGGAUGGAUUUGAGUAAGAGCAUAGCUGUUGGGACCCGAAAGAUGGUGAACUAUGCCUGAAUAGGGUGAAGCCAGAGGAAACUCUGGUGGAGGCUCGCAGCGGUUCUGACGUGCAAAUCGAUCGUCAAAUUUGGGUAUAGGGGCGAAAGACUAAUCGAACCAUC